GGUUGAGGUGGUGAUCUCCCUGCUGUUAUUCACUACUCAUCUGUCAGUCAGGAUGCUGCUGUUGGCUCUGCUGCUCUUGACAUCACUGACAGCACAGAGUUCUGAGCAAACAAUAUCAGCUGUGAAUCCAGAAAUGCAUGCGUCAGAGGAAGGGACUGUGUCUAUUGCAUGUAAAUACGACGGCAGCGGUGUUCAGAGUCUUCAGUGGUAUCACGGUUUGCCUGGAUCCAGACCAGAGUAUGCGCUCACCAUCCUUCCGAAUACCAAAACUGUGCUUCAUGCUGACCCUCCAAACUUCAGGCUGAAUGCCACUGUGACGUCUGAUAAAGUUUUCUUGCUGAUCUCCUCUGCAACAAUAUUGGACUCUGCUGUGUACUACUGUGCCCUGCAGCCCACAGUGACAUGAACUCCAACAACCCUGUACAAAAACCCAGAAGCCACCACUGUGUGGUUCACAUUAUAAUGUGU